rnacentral:rRNA from 2 species
AAGUCUUGACAUACAGUGAAGAUAUAAGAAAUUAUAUUGUUUUAAUGUUUACAUUAAACACUGAUACAGGUGGUGCAUGGUU